rnacentral:rRNA from 1 species
UAUGGCUCAGAUUGAACGCUGGCGGCAGGCCUAACACAUGCAAGUCGAGCGGAAACGAGUUAUCAAAGCCUUCGGGUGGAGAUAACGGCGUCGAGCGGCGGACGGGUGAGUAAUGCCUGGGAAAUUGCCCUGAUGUGGGGGAUAACCAUUGGAAACGAUGGCUAAUACCGCAUAAUAGCUUCGGCUCAAAGAGGGGGACCUUCGGGCCUCUCGCGUCAGGAUAUGCCCAGGUGGGAUUAGCUAGUUGGUGAGGUAAUGGCUCACCAAGGCGACGAUCCCUAGCUGGUCUGAGAGGAUGAUCAGCCACACUGGAACUGAGACACGGUCCAGACUCCUACGGGAGGCAGCAGUGGGGAAUAUUGCACAAUGGGCGCAAGCCUGAUGCAGCCAUGCCGCGUGUAUGAAGAAGGCCUUCGGGUUGUAAAGUACUUUCAGCAGUGAGGAAGGUGGUGUCGUUAAUAGCGGCAUCAUUUGACGUUAGCUGCAGAAGAAGCACCGGCUAACUCCGUGC